AUUGAACGCUGGCGGCAGGCUUAACACAUGCAAGUCGAGCGGGGAAGGGUAGCUUGCUACCCAACCUAGCGGCGGACGGGUGAGUAAUGCUUAGGAAUCUGCCAUUUAGUGGGGGACAACAUUCCGAAAGGAAUGCUAAUACCGCAUACGUCCUACGGGAGAAAGCAGGGGAUCUUCGGACCUUGCGCUAAAUGAUGAGCCUAAGUCGGAUUAGCUAGUUGGUGGGGUAAAGGCCUACCAAGGCGACGAUCUGUAGCGGGUCUGAGAGGAUGAUCCGCCACACUGGGACUGAGACACGGCCCAGACUCCUACGGGAGGCAGCAGUGGGGAAUAUUGGACAAUGGGCGGAAGCCUGAUCCAGCCAUGCCGCGUGUGUGAAGAAGGCCUUAUGGUUGUAAAGCACUUUAAGCGAGGAGGAGGCUACUUAGAUUAAUACUCUAGGAUAGUGGACGUUACUCGCAGAAUAAGCACCGGCUAACUCUGUGCCAGCCGCCGCCGUAA
rnacentral:rRNA from 1 species